UACGUAGGGGGCUAGCGUUGUCCGGAAUCAUUGGGAGUAAAGCGCGCGUAGGCGGCCAGAUAAGUCCGGUGUGAAAGUCAAAGGCUCAACCUUUGAAUGCCGCUGGAAACUGUCUGGCUUGAGUCCGGAAGGGGCGAGUGGAAUUCCUGGUGUAGCGGUGAAAUGCGCAGAUAUCAGGAGGAACACCAAUGGCGAAGGCAGCUCGCUGGAACGGUACUGACGCUGAGGUGCGAAAGCGUGGGGAGCAAACAGG
rnacentral:rRNA from 1 species